rnacentral:rRNA from 1 species
AGAGUUUGAUCCUGGCUCAGGAUGAACGCUAGCGGCAGGCUUAACACAUGCAAGUCGAGGGGUAACGCGGGGUAGCAAUACUCUGGCGACGACCGGCGCACGGGUGCGUAACGCGUAUGCAACCUACCUGUAACAGGGGUAUAACGGAGUGAAAAUUCCACUAAUCCCCCAUAUUGUUAGAGAUUCGCAUGUUUCUCUAACGAAAGCUUCGGUGGUUACGGAUGGGCAUGCGUGACAUUAGGUAGUUGGCGGGGCAACGGCCCACCAAGCCGACGAUGUCUAGGGGAGCUGAGAGGCUUAUCCCCAACACUGGUACUGAGACACGGACCAGACUCCUACGGGAGGCAGCAGUGAGGAAUAUUGGUCAAUGGACGGAAGUCUGAACCAGCCAUGCCGCGUGGAGGAAGAAGGUCCUAUGGGUUGUAAACUGCUUUUAUGCGGGGAUAAACUUCAGCACGUGUGCUGUUUUGCAGGUACCGCAUGAAUAAGGACCGGCUAAUUCCGUGCCAGCAGCCGCGGUAAUACGGAAGGUCCGGGCGUUAUCCGGAUUUAUUGGGUUUAAAGGGAGCGCAGGCGGGCUGUCAAGCGUGCCGUGAAAUUUCGGGGCUCAACCCCGUUAAGCGGCGCGAACUGGCGGCCUUGGUUGCGGGAGAGGGAGGCGGAACUCGUGGUGUAGCGGUGAAAUGCAUAGAUAUCACGAAGAACCCCGAUUGCGAAGGCAGCCUCCCGGCCCGUGAACGACGCUCAUGCUCGAAGGCGCGGGUAUCAAACAGGAUUAGAUACCCUGGUAGUCCGCGCGGUAAACGAUGGACACUCGGGAUUUGCCCCUUUUUGGGUGAGUCCCCCAGCGAAAGCGUUAAGUGUCCCACCUGGGGAGUACGCCGGCAACGGUGAAACUCAAAGGAAUUGACGGGGGCCCGCACAAGCGGAGGAACAUGUGGUUUAAUUCGAUGAUACGCGAGGAACCUUACCCGGGCUCGAACGGUGCAGGAAGGAUCUAGAGAUAGUGACGCCCUUCGGGGCCUGCAUCGAGGUGCUGCAUGGUUGUCGUCAGCUCGUGUCGUGAGAUGUUGGCUCAAGUGCCAUAACGAGCGCAACCCUUGCCGCCAGUUACCAUCAAGUGAAGUUGGGGACUCUGGCGGGACUGCCACCGUAAGGUGUGAGGAAGGCGGGGAUGACGUCAAAUCAGCACGGCCCUUACGUCCGGGGCCACACACGUGUUACAAUGGGGGGCACAGCGAGCUGGACCAGGGCGACCUGGUUCGAAUCAUGAAAUCCCCUCCCAGUUCGGACCGGAGUCUGCAACCCGACUCCGCGAAGCCGGAUUCGCUAGUAAUCGCGCAUCAGCCAUGGCGCGGUGAAUACGUUCCCGGGCCUUGUACUCACCGCCCGUCAAG